rnacentral:lncRNA from 1 species
UACGUUAAAAAUUCUAUAAAUAAGUAAAUAAAUAAAUAUAUAUGUAUAUAUACAUUUAUAUAUAUAUAUUUUGUUGCAAUCGACUUUGACCUGGGCAGGGCUCCAGUGUGUCCUAUAUAAUACUAUUAUUAUUAUAUAAUAUAUAUCAGUAUUUUGUGUAUUUUUUUAUCAAGUUGACAAAAUAAUAAUUGUUAAUAUAUUGUGCAAAUAUCAAACAGAUACCGUCCAAGAAUAAUAAACUAUAAGGUUGACGAUUAAGUUUUCCCUAUACCUGAAAACAUUUGGAUAGAAUAGGUGAUAAUUGUAGUCUAGAACAAACCUUUUGCUCUUUUUUUUAUAUAUAUAUAUAUAUAUAUAUAUAUAUAUAAGACCAUAACAAGGUGUCUCAAAAUAUUCUGGCAUAACUUCAAGAAUAAAUUACCCAGCACGUUUGCUUCAUCUAAAUUCGUUGAAUUUUUAUUUGUGGGAGUAUCAAGUUUUUAAUUUGCUACAUCUUGGUAAAAAAUAUUAAACGUGGUCAUUUUGAAUAGUGUUUCUCUAUGAAACUUAUUUAAUAAUUUAUAUAAUACAAAAAUUGCUAUAAUUUGGAAACAUGUGUUACUGAAACAACCCUGGAAGUUAUGUUUACAUAUUUUGACUAUUGAAAAUUAUUAAUCACGUUUUUCUUUGGGCAAUUUUGAUAAUUUAUUUAUCAAAAAAUAUCGUAACAUUUUUUUUGAAAAAUAAAAACUAAAAAGAAAAGAAUAAAAAUAAUUUUGAUAACUCGGGCACAGUUCGAUUGAUACUUUUACUAAUAAUAAUAAUAAUAAUAAUAAUAAUAAUAAUAAUAAUAAUAAUAAUAAUCAUAUUAAUAAUAAUAGUAUUAAUAAAAGAACAAAUAUUGAUUUGGUGAUUUACCUAUUUUAUUAUGUUUUGCUUUCUUCCAAUGAAUGUUUUUACGAUAAGCUGUUGACUUUGUCUGUAACGUUCAAUAUUACCAAUGAAACUUAUAUAAGAUGUGUUCUAAAAAUAUGUUUAAGCAAUAUGAUUAUUUGUCAACACUUGUUACACGAAAACUUGUUUUGCACUCAACAACGAGCAAUAUGUCAGAAUAAUCGGCCGUAUAUUCGCCAAGGACAAUUGAAAAUACUUAUUUAAACAGUUAAAGAUCCUUUAUGCGCAUACUCCGUUCUGCAGUGUCCGUUAAACGAAGAAAAUUUGGACCAGUGCCGUUUGGUACAUCAUCAACGAAAGAGGCAA